rnacentral:misc_RNA from 1 species
AAGUCGUAACAAGGUUUCCGUAGGUGAACCUGCGGAAGGAUCAUUAAAUUCAGUAGCUUGCUACUGUUAGGGGGGUCCGUCAGUCUGUAUAGUAUCACUACUGAUGAGCAGCACGACCCUCUGUCUAUACCCUUGUCUUUUGCGCACUCAUGUUUCCUCGGCGGCUUCAUACCCGCCGGCUGGAUCAAUCUAUAACCUUUUUAAUUUUCAAUCAGCGUCUGAAAAACCUAAUAAUUACAACUUUCAACAACGGAUCUCUUGGUUCUG